rfam:Spermophilus tridecemlineatus cont1.623835, whole genome shotgun sequence.
CCACCUUAAGACCGCGCUUGCCAGCCUCGGCUGGGCGGCUCCCGGCGCGCGACCAAUG